rnacentral:misc_RNA from 1 species
UUACCGACUGGCUGAAGGUCUUGGUUUUCCCUUUAUAGAAUUCAAGUGUUGGGUAACAAAUAUGACUCCCAUUACAAGUAUGAGGCAACCAACCAGCGUGCUGAAAAAGAGAGCCCCUGGUUGCCUGGUCUGGACAAAGCCGUACACACCGGUAGAGGUCACAAGGAUAAUAUCUGUAAGACCAUCGUUCGAGAAGUCCUCGGUGAUGAGGGCAUGAGUCGGUGAGGCGGGAAGAUCAAUUGACGCCUGUACACUUCCUCCUGGAGAUAUGACUACGGCUUCUUGUUCUCCUCCAGCAAGGACCAUUUCUUGAUCGCCACCCACUCGCAAUGAGAUAGCCUUGAGUGUGGGAAUCACGGUACCAGCAUCCAUCAUCCCUGAUGGAGAGGGAAGAUUUGACCAAGUAGCACCUGUUGAGAUCUGCCACUGCCAAUCGGCACCAUGACCAUGCAAUCCAGGUGAAUAUGAUGUUACCUCUCCCCGGUUAGUCAAGAA